UACAGAGGGUGCAAGCGUUAAUCGGAAUUACUGGGCGUAAAGCGUGCGUAGACGGUCAUGUAAGUCGGGUGUGAAAGCCCCGGGCUCAACCUGGGAAUUGCAUUCGAGACUGCAUGGCUAGGGUGCGGAAGAGGGAAGCGGAAUUCCCGGUGUAGCGGUGAAAUGCGCAGAUAUCGGGAAGAACGCCGGUGGCGAAGGCGGUCUGCUGGGCCAAGACUGACGCUGAGGCGCGACAGCGUGGGGAGCAAACAGG
rnacentral:rRNA from 1 species